rnacentral:rRNA from 1 species
GCGAGUCUAUGGACUUCGGUCCAUGGCGGACGGCUCAGUAACACGUGGUUAACCUACCCUUAGGUGGGGGAUAACCUUGGGAAACUGAGGAUAAUACCCCAUAGGAAAAGAGGUUUGGAAUAAUCCUUUUCUGAAAGGACAUCCGCCUAAGGAUGGGACUGCGUCUGAUUAGGUAGUUGGUGGGGUAAUGGCCCACCAAGCCUACGAUCAGUACGGGCCUUGAGAGAGGGAGCCCGGAGAUGGGGACUGAGACACGGCCCCAGGCCCUACGGGGCGCAGCAGGCGCGAAACCUCCACAAUGCACGAAAGUGCGAUGGGGGAAUCCCAAGUGCCUAUGUAAAACAUAGGCUUUUCCCAAGUUUAAACAACUUGGGGAAUAAGGGCUGGGCAAGUCCGGUGCCAGCAGCCGCGGUAACACCGGCGGCCCAAGUGGUAGCC